rnacentral:rRNA from 1 species
GACAGAGGGUGCAAACGUUGUUCGGAAUUACUGGGCGUAAAGCGCGUGUAGGCGGUCAUGCAAGUCGGGUGUGAAAGCCCGGGGCUCAACCCCGGAAGUGCAUUCGAUACUGCGUGGCUAGAGUACUGGAGAGGAUGGUGGAACUCUGGGUGUAGAGGUGAAAUUCGUAGAUAUCCAGAAGAACACCGGUGGCGAAGGCGGCCAUCUGGACAGAUACUGACGUGAGACGCGAAAAGCGUGGGGGAGCAAAACAGG